rnacentral:rRNA from 1 species
UAAAACGUAGGGGGCGAGCGUUGCCCGGAUUCACUGGGCGUAAAGCGCGUGUAGGCGGUCUGUUAAGUCGGAUGUGAAAUCUCUGGGCUCAACCCAGAAAUCGCAUCCGAUACUGGCAGACUUGAGGACGGUAGAGGUUGGUGGAAUUCCCGGUGUACCGGUGAAAUGGACAGAUAUCGGGAGGAACACCAGUGGCGAAGGCGGCCAACUGGGCCGAUCCUGACGCUGAGACGCGAAAGCCAGGGGAGCGAACCGGAUUAGAUACCCGGGUAGUCCUGGCCGUAAACGGUGUGGACUAGGUGUGGGGGGCGUCAUGCCUUCUGUGCCGAAGCUAACGCAUUAAGUCCACCGCCUGGGGAGUACGGCCGCAAGGCUA